UUCUCUUCCAUCGCAUUGUGAUGCCGUUGUCCGUGGCGUGGUCGUCAUCCGUUGCUUGAUGGUCGUCGUCCCUCUACGUUGUCGACGGGUGCUUUGCUAUGCUCUGUUCGUCCGCCAUUAGUGGAUCCAUUGCCUCGCCUCGCCGCGCCGCACCUCUGUCUCGCCCUUGCUGUCUAAUCUAGCUCUGCAACAAGAGUGAUAGGAGAUUUGGAUUUCUUCAUAGACCUACAUCAUGGUGAAGCUCCAUUAGGUGUAGAAC